rnacentral:tRNA from 1 species
GGGGAUAUAGCUCAGUGGGUAGAGUGCUUGCCUUGCAUGCACAAGGCCCUGGGUUCAAUCCCCAGCACCACCA